UUUAGAUGUUUCCAAGAAGGGCAGAUUCUCGCAUAAGUUUCAUGCACUUAUUUUUAUCGCCCCUUCCAGUUUGUAGAUAAAUUUUCUGUAACUCUCGUCGAAUUCAAUUUAAAUUUGUGUACUGUUUAAGGCGUUUUAUAUAUAGAUUUCAGGAUAGUGGAGUGCCAACCUCGUGUCUAAUUUGGUUUCUGUUAUAAUUUAUCGACAAAGUGAGUUACAAAUGAAGCAUAAUAAGAUGGUUCUGGGGUUGAUUACAACUGUGUUGAGUAGAAAGCCAGGGUUAAGGUGCGACAUGGGUCUGAACGAGAUAAAGAAGCAGAAUAAAAAGGGUCUUUGGUAGAAAUCCAGGAUUAAGGCAUGGGAAAGAAGAAGUAUCAACAGGAACAGCUUGAGGACAAGUCAGAGAGGAAUAAAGAUCUAUUAUUCCAUGGUUGUGUUCAGGUUUCCUCAAGUAUUUCAUUGUUUCCAUUGUCGCAUCCGUCAUGGUAGAUGUUAACGACUAAUUCUUAGAGUUUGGUUUGCUAUGUAGUUUUUACCCAGUUCCCAUAAUUGUCUCCUUCAUCUAGAGUUGUAUGAUAUAUUAACUACUAAUCUCUAGAGUAUUUUAGCUUUUAUUAUAUAUAUAGCAAACAUUUGAGA